CCUUUCUGGACCAAGGGGCCCCAGGGGGGCUAGGGACGGGCCCGAGGCUAGGAGGAAGUGGGGCCCUGCAUGCCAGGCCUGAGGCCUGGUACUCAUCCUGCACGGAUGGGCAUGCACCUCACAAAAGGAGGACAGGUCUGUACCCACAGCUCAAAGCCAAGGCCUGAGCCCGCGGUUGCAGACAUGGCGCCCAGAGACACGGCGGGGAGAGGGGGGCUGGGGCUCUCCAUGGGGCCCAUGCCGAGGCCCCGGCCUCCUGCUCCAGGCUGGGUUUGGCCCUGUUUCUGUUUUUCCAUUGCAGAUUCCACAGAAACAGCCAUGCCAGGACUGCCCCCUCCCCCCCGCCCCACAGCAUGCUGGGAAGGCCUCCCUGGGCCAGACACAGUUUCUGCACUGCCUUCCUCCCUCGGGAUAGGGAUCUGCAAGCUGCCAGCCC